CUCUGGGCACAGUGGGGUCCCGGUGCCAGCCGUGCCCUCAGCCCCCCCAAUUCCCCGAAGGCUGCAGUGGCAUUUGAAGACGUGGCCCUGUAUUUCUCUGCUGAGGAGUGGGCGCUGCUGGCGCGGUGGCAGCGGGAGCUGUACCAGGAGGUGAUGAUGGAUAACUACGACCUGGUGGCAUGUCUGGACUCCCUUGACAUCAAACCCCCCAACGUCCACGGAACAGAUCCUGGGGAGACUUCAAAUGGAGGGGACAGAGGGCCACUGGACCCCGCAGGCAGCGCCCCCUGGGAUGAGGACACACUGGGUGAUGCCAUCCAGGCACACCGUGUACCGCCGGAGCCAAGAUGCCCCCUGCUGCACCCCGAAUGGGGUGAGCGGGAGCCAGCAGGGGCUGUGGGGCUGCGGAUCUGCAGGGUCUGUGGGCAGAGCUUCGAGGACGCGGCGGCGCUGAGCACACACCGGGCAGAGCACGGGGACCCGACGCCCGGCCACGAGUGCGUGGCGUGCGGCAAAGUGUUCCGGCACCGCCGCAACCUCCUGGCACACAAGAAGCAGCGGGGCCAGCAGCGGCACUCCUGCGGCGANNNNNNNNNNNNNNNNNNNNNNNNNNNNNNNNNNNNNNNNNNNNNNNNNNCGCGGGGGGGCCGGCGCCGUGGCAGUGCCCAGAGUGCGGGCUGCCCUUCGAGGAUGAGCUCAGCCUGAGCCUGCACCGCGCGCAGCACGGCGAGGAGCGGCCCUUUGCCUGCGGGCGCUGCGAGCGCCGCUUCUCCUGGAAGGAGAGCCUGCAGCUGCACCUGCGCAGCCACGCGCCCGAGCGCCGCCACAAAUGCCAGCAGUGCGGCCGGGCGUUCAGCCGGAGCAGCAAUCUGCUGCUGCACCAACGCGUGCACACGGGUGAGCGGCCCUACGCCUGCGCGCAGUGCGACAAGACCUUCAGCAACAAGGCCAGCCUCACCACGCACCGCCGGCUGCACCGCCGCUGCAGGACCUUCGUCUGCGCGCUGUGCCGCCUCGGCUUCGGCUCCAAGAGCAAACUGCGACUGCAUCUGCGCGGCCACGGCGACGGCGGCGGCCUCGGGGUGGGGAGUGGGCAGCCCUGACCCCAAAGGGCCUCAUGGGAUGCCCCAAAGGACCCCACGACACCCACUGGAGGACCUUAUGAGGUGCCCCAAAGGACUCUGUAGCAUCCCGCAAAGGACGUUGUGGGUUCCCCCAGAGAAUCUCAUGGGAUCCCCCAAAGGAUAUUUGGAGUUCUCCUGAAGGACCCUAUUGGAUCCCCCAAAGGACGUUGUGGGAUCCCCCAGAGAAUCUCAUGGGAUCCCCCGAAGGACCCCAAAGGACCCUAUUAGAUCCUCCAAAGGACCCAGUGAGACUCCUUGAAGGACCCUAUGGGAUCCCCCUAAGGACUCCAUAGGACAUUUGGAGUUCUUCUGAAGGACCCCAUUAGAUCCUCCAGAGGAACCCAUGAGACUUCUUGAAUGACCUCAUGGGAUCCCCCAAAGGACCCCAGGAGACCCCCUGAAGGAGCAUAUGAGGUGCCCCAAAGGACUCUCUGGGAUCCCCCAAAGGACAUUUGGAGUUCUCCUGAAGGACCCUAUUGGAUCCUCCGGAGGACCCAAUGACACUCCUUGAAGGACCCUAUGGGAUCUCCCAAAGGACUCUGUAGGACAUUUGGAAUUUUCCAGGAGGACUCUGAUUUGGA
ensembl:lncRNA